AUUGAACGCUGGCGGCAGGCCUAACACAUGCGAGUCGAGCGGAUGAAGGGAGCUUGCUCCUGGAUUCAGCGGCGGACGGGUGAGUAAUGCCUAGGAAUCUGCCUGGUAGUGGGGGAUAACGUCCGGAAACGGGCGCUAAUACCGCAUACGUCCUGAGGGAGAAAGUGGGGGAUCUUCGGACCUCACGCUAUCAGAUGAGCCUAGGUCGGAUUAGCUAGUUGGUGGGGUAAAGGCCUACCAAGGCGACGAUCCGUAACUGGUCUGAGAGGAUGAUCAGUCACACGGGAACUGAGACACGGUCCAGACUCCUACGGGAGGCAGCAGUGGGGAAUAUUGGACAAUGGGCGAAAGCCUGAUCCAGCCAUGCCGCGUGUGUGAAGAAGGUCUUCGGAUUGUAAAGCACUUUAAGUUGGGAGGAAGGGCAGUAAGUUAAUACCUUGCUGUUUUGACGGUACCAACAGAAUAAGCACCGGCUAACUUCGUG
rnacentral:rRNA from 1 species